rnacentral:lncRNA from 1 species
UCCUUUGUUGCAGGUACACGCUCGGAUGGGGCGUACGGAGGCGCGGUGAUGUGGAGGCUCACGUGGAUUUGGCGCGGAGGCGCUACACUCGCGCAGACGCAACAUGCGCGAGGAGGAGGCCUGGCUCUGCUGCGGCGGCUGAAGCUAUUUUAGAAACUGCUAGGGUUUCUGCUUAUGCUUUGGGCUCAGAAUCGGGUCUAAGUUUAGGUACUGGGUUGAGAUUUGGGCCAUUGGGCUGGUGUUGUGUUAUUGGAUAUUCAGGCUAGUGGGCUUAGGUAAACGGGG